UGAGGAAUUUUCCGCAAUGGGCGAAAGCCUGACGGAGCGACGCCGUGUGUGCGAUGACGUUUUUCGGAAUGUAAAGCACUGUCAGAGGGGAAGAUAAUGACGGUACCCUCAGAGGAAGGCCCGGCUAACUACGUGCCAGCAGCCGCGGUAAUACGUAGGGGCCAAGCGUUGUCCGGAAUUAUUGGGCGUAAAGGGCGUGUAGGCUGUUUGGUAAGUCGGAUGUUAAAUCUAUAGGCUCAACCUAUAGCUGCAUCUGAGACUGCCAUACUAGAGAAUGGUAGAGGAAAGCGGAACUUCCGGUGUAGCGGUGAAAUGCGUAGAUAUCGGAAGGAACACCAGUGGCGAAGGCGGCUUUCUGGGCCAUUUCUGACGCUGAGACGCGAAAGCUAGGGGAGCAAACGGG
rnacentral:rRNA from 1 species